AAACAUACAAUUUAUUUAUUUAAAAAAGAGGGUUUUUUUUCUGUGUAUAUUAUUUAUAUAAUGGUGCUGUUUAAUACAAAGAUAAUUGUAGGCAGAUAGGAGGCAUAAUUGAGCACAUUGUCCUUAAUGAAAAAAAGUUGUAAAACAAGGCAAUGUUAAAGAUCUUAAAGGAACUCUAUGACAUAAGGAAUAAGGAACUCUGGUCUUGCCUUGACCGCUGCUUCUCACCAGGCUGAGAGUUUUAUUAUUGAUGAUCUCAGCCAAUCUAAUGCUUCCCCAUGGGGGGCACCAAUCAGCAUUUCCUUGUUAGGGAUACAUUGACUCUGCAUCUCUAUAUGGAGCAUUUGGCACCUUCUUGUGUACGCGUCGACUUUUGGUCCUGCUAAGAUUGUAGGACUGUGCCAAAAAGUCACUCUAGUCCAUCAAAGUUACUGAUUGAUAGUGUUUACAUUGCUUCCUAAGGCCACCUCUAAUGACUGUCACUCUGACUAAAUUUUCUGGGAGUAGUUCGUGUUUUCAUUGCUCAGAUUACAGAGAUAGUCUCUCUGCACGAGAACCACUACAUUAAAGGACACUCCAGGCACCAAUACGACUUUAAUGCAUUUGAUAGAUUUUGGCCUUAUUAAUAUGCUGCAUUUUUUGCAUACUCAUAUCCAUGUAGUUUUUGCACAAAAAUCUUUCACUAUAAGUCUGCCUCCUUAGCCACGCCACUCAUGUCAGAAACAUGCACAUAGUCUCAGCCCCAACAGCAAAACGUUUGACUAACGUUGCCAAGAUGUCACUUUAAGCAGGGGCAGGCAACCUUCAGCACUCCAGCUCUUGUAGACUACAUCUCCCAUAAUGCUGUAACAGACAUAAUGCUGCCAAUGCAUCAGGGAAGAUGUAAUCCACAACAUCUGGAGUGCAGAAGUUGCCUGCCAAUGCACUUUAGCAUGCCCCUCACCUGUUCUGCUUAUGGGGUGCUGUCCCACUUUAGUUCCCUGGUGUCCCGCAUCGGCAGACGCCUGGAAAUGGUCUCCAGGCAGCACAGCGCGAGUGCAUCAUUAGACGGGUCUCUUCUGAAGUUCUCCCAGCAUGGUCCAGAUAGCUGGACUUUUUGCACGAGUCCACCCUCUCCUGAGCAGCUCCCCACCCCCCAUUGUGG